AUUGACCAAUGGGUUUUUUAAAUUGACAUAAUCUCAGGCGACAAACAUUUCGGUGUCUAUUGGUUCUGUAAAUACUAUUUAUUCCUCUCGCUAUAAAGCCUGAUUUCGUUUGUCGGUCAGUAUUUAAUAGUAUAGUCAAAGAGUCGUUCAGAAAAAUAGUUAUCUACAUUAAAUGCCGUAGAUAACAGGCUCUGUGUUGCAUGGGGGCAGCUAGCUAGCCAUACUAGCUAUUUUGGCUAGCUAAUUUCGAGGCUGUCAUAUCAGUUUUCAGCUGGUUUGCUGUCAACAAACUAGCCAGUUAUUUGUACAAACGUAUCACAACCUCAGCUACGAAAGGACAGCAUUGGAAUGAGCAGGUGACAUGACACUCCAGCACCGAACUGACGUUUGAAUAAGGUCCUACGACGUACAUUGGGGCAUGCAGGCAGACAGUUGAGACCAUUAUGAGGGCACCCCAGGCCAGCAGGAGCCUGUGAACGGCCAUAACACCCUCUCUGUCUACUCUCUAACCAGACAACCUUCCCCUCAGGUGUUAGGCCUAGUUUCUCUCUCACCCUUGUUAUGCCUCUUUCACUGCUUUGGGGAUAGAGGAACGUCCAUAAAGGGAAGAGAGAGGGGCUUCAUAUUGGGUUAGUUAGACAGGCGGACCCUGUAUUUCCCCCUGCUAUGCCCCAGCUGCCCCAGCCCCUAAAGCCAUGAGCUCUGCCCUGUGGAGCCAGGAGAAGCCCAGUGGCGGCUUCAGGGAGGACUGGCGCUUCUACAUGGUGGUCAAGGAGUGUACAGUGGAGAAGCCCCCCCAGAAGACGCUGAGGAUCCCCCGGGGCAGCCUGGGACAGGCCUGCCAGGAAAGGAACAGCCUGGGGCGCACGCUGCCCCCCAGCAAGGGCAAGAGGAGCAUACGCAUCCUGGACCAGACCAACGUGGUGCUGAGCCUGGAUGAGCGGGACGUCCUGGAGCUGGAUGAGAAGCUAGCUGAGCUGCUGUUCCCCAUCACCAACUGUGAGGAGCGCUAUGCCCUGCUGUGCAACAAGCCCAGGCUGGAGCGGGCCAGAGACAUCGACUGUGGCUCCAAGGUGCGCGUGCAGCUGCGUUCGGGGGAUGAACCUUUGCCCGGGGUAGUCCGAUUUAAAGGAUCUCUCCUCCCAGACAGGGCUCUCUCCGGGGUCUGGUUUGGAGUGGAGCUGCUGGAGGAGGGCAGAGGCCAGGGCUUCACAGAGGGCUCCUACCAGGGCCGACAGCUGUUCCGCUGUGAGGAUGAGUGCGGGGUGUUCGUGGCCCUGGACAAGCUGGAGCUGUGGGAUGACGAGGAAGAGGAGCUGGGAGAGCUAGAGGUGGAUCACGUCACCCUGGUGGAGGAUGAGAUGGAUUUCCAUCAGCUGGAGAUCAACUCCAGGGUCCUGGUCCAGACCAGAGAGGGGCCGGAGAGGGGAACCAUCAUCUUCUGUGACCUGCUGCCUGGGAACGAGAGCCUGGGGUACUAUGUGGGAGUAGACAUGGACAAUCCUAUUGGGGACUGGGAUGGUGUUAUCGAUGGGAAGCUGCUGUGUAAUUUCGCCAGUCUGGAACACACCCGUCUAGUCCCCAUCUGUGACGUAAUGCCAGAGUACUCCAUGCAGGACCAGAGGCUGCAGAAGCACAGUUUUACCCCCAGAGGCAGCAGCAGUGACAAGUCCUCCUCUGGCCAAAGCAAACCAAAGAGCAAAGGCUUAGGUCUUCAGUGUGGGAGUAGAAGCAAGUCAGAAUUGUAUUAUACUUUAAAUGGCAGCUCUGUUGACCACCCAGUCCAGGCCAAAUCCAAAAGCACAUGGUACAUUGAUGAAGUCGGGGAGGACCCUGCCAAGUCCCUCACAGACACGCCCCCUGACUUCAAUGAAGCCACACCUCCUACCAGGGCCCCGCCCUCUGCUUCCUUGUCCAAUGACAACAAGUUCCAUUCCCUGCCCUUCAGCCUGAGCCGUAAGACGGGGCCCAAUGGCAGCAUGAGCCAUGGACCCCUCUCCCUCUCCGUGCAGUCAGUGAUGGGAGAGCAGAUGCAGAUGCCAGAGCCCCCGUCCCCUACCCCUCCCUCUCCGCAGCCCCCCUCACCUCCCAGCUCUCGCGGGGGUGGGGGAGUGCCUGGUCUGGAGGUGGGGUCCCUAGUGGAGGUGAAGGAGAACCCGCCCCUGUGUGGGGUCAUCCGCUGGGUGGGCCUGCCCCCGGGACUACCAGAGCCACUAGCUGGCCUGGAGCUGGAGGAAGAGUGUGUUGGCUGUACAGACGGCACCUUUCAAGGUACCCGUUACUUCAGCUGCGCGCCCAAGAAGGCCCUGUUUGUGAAGCUGAAAUGCUGCCGGCCGGACUCCCGUUUCCCCUCCCUACACCACUCCUCCAACCCCAUCGAGAGAUGCAACUCUAUCGCUUUCGGGGGUUAUCUGAGUGAGGUGGUGCAUGAGAACACUCCUCCACGCACUGAGAAUGACGGUCUAGACAUCAUGGUGGGCAAGAAGAAAGGUAUCCAGGGACACUACAACUCCUGCUACCUGGACUCCACACUCUUCUGCCUGUUUUCCUUCAGCUCAGUCCUGGACACAGUUCUGCUGAGGCCGAGGUCCAAGACUGACGUAGAGUAUUACCGAGAGACACAGGAGCUGCUACGCACAGAGAUAGUCAACCCCCUGCGCAUACAUGGCUAUGUGUGUGCCACUAAAGUGAUGAAGCUCAGAAGGAUACUGGAGAAGGUAGAAGCUGCCUCAGGGUUCACGUCUGAAGAAAAAGAUCCUGAGGAGUUCCUCAAUAUUCUGUUCCAUCACAUAUUGAGGGUGGACCCCUUACUCAAGCUGAGGUCGGCAGGUCAGAAGGUUCAGGACUGCUACUUCUACCAGAUCUUCAUGGAUAAGAAGGACAAAGUGGGCGUGCCAACCAGCCAGCAGCUCUUAGAGUGGUCCUUCAUCAACAGUGACCUCAAGUUUGCUGAGGCUCCUUCCUGCCUUAUCAUCCAGAUGCCGCGUUUUGGGAAGGACUUCAAGAUGUUCAACAAGAUCUUCCCCUCACUGGAGUUAGACAUCACAGACUUACUUGAAGACACUCCCAGGGAGUGUCGAAUCUGCGGGGGUCUGGCUCUGUAUGAAUGCAGGGAGUGCUACGAGGACGGUGACAUCACUGCCGGGAAGAUAAAACAGUUCUGUGAAAAGUGCAAUACACAGGUUCACCUCCACCCGAGGAGGAAGGCCCAUCGCCACGGCAAGUUGUCCGUCCCCAAGGAACUGCAGGAGGGUGUGUGGCGGCAGGGUAGCUACCCUCGUCAGCGGAUGGAGCUGUUCGCCGUGCUCUGCAUAGAGACCAGUCACUACGUAGCGUUCGUCAAGUACGGCCACCAAGACUCCGCAUGGCUCUUCUUCGACAGUAUGGCCGACCGCGACGGAGGGCAGAAUGGCUUCAACAUCCCCCAGGUGUCUCCAUGUCCGGAGGUGGGGGCCUAUCUGAAGAUGACCCCUGAGGAGCUGCACGCCCUGGACCCCAAGAGCAUCCAGGGCCAGGCCCGCCGUCUGCUGUGUGACGCCUACAUGUGCAUGUACCAGAGCCCCACCAUGAGCCUGUACAAGUAGAGCCCCUGGGGCAGGAGACUCUGACAGACAGAAGGGAGAGCUGCAGUCCAGGGCUCUCUCCCUCUGUCCCCACCACCUCCUCAAUGCCUGCCCCUGUCUCCUCAGUCUACUCUGCCCAAAGUGAAGAGAAUAGAAAAGAGAAAAGAAAAAAGCUUAUUUGCACUGUGCAUUUGUUGAAGUGUUGUUCUUCUUGUUUUCCCUCUGGUGAACAACAAAACAAGCUGAUCUUGACGUCAGUAGCUUCCCUGUGCCUCGUAGCUGAGUGGUGGGGGACGGCGGUCGAUGGAGACACGAGAAGCCCGCUGAAUAUUAUUCUCUUCCUGUGGAGAGGAAGAGGAGAGCGAGAGAGAGAGAGAGAGAGAGGGGGACGGCAUGCUCGCCUCGGCUGACCAAACAUGCGAAACAAAAACAAGCCAUGUUAAUGGAAGGACAGAGGCCACCUCAUUUACCUAAAGCAGGGGGAGUCCUGCUUUUCUUAAUCAGUGUAAGAGAUGGGAGCGCUCCAUAAUUCAACUCAUAGUGGAAAUAAUGCCAUGUUCAAAACCCUCAACCAACUAUGUAUACGGUUUAAACAGCUUGUCUUAAGACCUCCUUAGUACCAUGAUCCAUUAUGUCAGAUGUGUACCACCACCAACAGUAUAUUUGUGUCAACCGAAUAUAGCAUUAGGCUCAACCAGAAUACUUUGGGUGGCAUAGAUUUCAUGAAAGUGUGUGUGUUCCAAAUGGAUAUAUGGUAAAGGCGGCUGUAUGACAGUUCUCCAUGCAGUCAGAGGACAGGUCAGGUACUCUAAAGCCUGGCAGGUGUUUUUGAAUUAACACUUUGUGGAAAAAUGUUCUGUUUUGUAAGUCUCAAGGCGUUGUGUGUCAGAAAACAAAAUUAUUUAAUGUCUAAACUUUUAACUGCACUCAAGACAUAGCAAACCCCUGCUUGGCAUUUGUCAUUCUCAAUACUUAUCUAUCUGAUGAGACAAACAGUAUAUGCCUUUUGUGUCUUUUUCAUACAUUUGUGACAGUCAACUCCCCAACUGUGGCUCAAAAUCAAGUAACUUUAAAAUACAGUAUAUUCCUAAUUAUAUUUUAAUCUGAAUAUAUUUACAUUCUCGUAUUUUAAAUUUUUUGAAGAAAAUUACAAAAUAUAUAUUAAAUAUAAGCUAUCUGGAACUCCUCCCAUCUCUCACCAGAUAUUGAAGUGAGUUCUUGUGAUUCAUGCCGUCCCAUUAAUACUACUGAAUGUUACCACCAGUGGCAUGCUGGGUAGUGUAGUUUAAUGUCAUGAUAUAGACCUGAUUGGGAGGUUUCAAUGUUGGUUUCCAGAUGACUACAACCUCCACAAAGCCCCAUUGUGAUUGUUUUCCCAGGGACCCUCAAAGGGGACAUUAUUACUGUGUGUGCUUGUUUCUGCACUGCUGAAGUUUAAUGCUCGUCACAGACAGACAGGAGGACUUUCUUUACUCCACUGGAGCAUGGGCUCAGCACAGCGGGGAUUCUGCUCUGGUCGAUGCGUUUGUCAGAGAGACGGGGUGCAGAUGGGACUAACCUCCCCGUGGGCAGAGACACAGCAGCUGGACACUGGUCCGACAGGGAGCUCGAGGCCCAGACAGCAGAUUAACACAAGGUUCUAUUUUCUUCUCUUUAUCACCUCAAACUACAGUCUACUGGAAAAGGCAGAAAUACUUUACAUGUUUUAAACAUAUCUCUGAUCAAUCAUUGUUAAAAUGGGAAAAAGGGUAUGCUUUUUGAGUUAGUCAUAACUCACUGGGCACAGACAUCAAUUCAAUGUUUAUUCCACGUGGUCAAAUGGUAUUUUAUUGAAAGGGUGUGGAAACAACGUUGAUUCAACCAGUGUGUGCCCAGCGGGUGCAUGGCUACAUUUCCAGCUUAGUGAGUGACUUGCAGUGCCUGUCUGUGAGGGCUGCAGCAUUUCAAGCUCUUGAGAAAAGUCUCUCAUUGGUGUUUGAACAGUUGACAAUGUGUGAGCAAGUGGGUUUAUGCCUUUAGUCAUAGGAUUAUUACAAUAUGGGCCCCAGUCUAGGCCUCUUCAAAACCACAGUCAAUCAUCUGCUGUCCAGGAAAUAAAUACAAAUUGGGUGCAAUAUUCUUAACAAUAAAGAAUGACAGAUCAGUUUUAA